UGGGCAGAGGCCGUUCUGUGCUUUCUGUGGAUGUUUGCAGCUGCUCACAGGAACUGGUCCUUGGUUCCCUGAAUGGAUGGCCCGAGAACAUAAGGGUCAGAGCAACUUGGGGAGGACAAGCCAUUCUUCUGCCACCAUGCAGAACCCUGACAGCCCUGACAAGCCUUUAAGUGGCAGUUCCGGGAGCUUGAAGACACAGCGCUCCCCAAGGACAGCAGGGAGGCUCUUUCCCAUGGUGCUCUGUGGACUGGGACGCCGGCAGGAAGAGAGAAGAAGCAAAGACGUGCUCUUGAAUUACUAUGAGAUGAAAACCAAGGACUCCUGAAAACACCUGGAGGACGUUUUGAGAGUCCAAAAUUCUUGGGAGCCGGUUGGAGCCCAAAUCCUUCAUCAUCUGGCAGCACAACUCAGGGAACAGCACCAUCCACAACAAGAAGGAUGCCCCCCACCGCUAACCCAAGACAGUCCCUCAGAGACCCAUCUCCCACGUGACUCCAGAUCUCAUCAAACCCACAACUGACAGUAACUGUCACAGAGGCCGGCUUGCAGCCUCAUGGUCCUAAGAUGACUGCUGACACGUGGGCAUCUGCAUCCAUGACUAAAGCCACAGACCUCCUCAUCGCCUGGACCACGCUGUCGCCACACUCCUCCCUCCUCCGCGCGGACAGGAGAGGUGAUUCAAGCCUGCUGCCUGAAUGUUUUGCACCUCCUUGGUGGAGAGGAAUUUAUGGGCUCAGUGGCGAGUCACCCCAUGAAUCAACAGCCGGCAGGGUGUAGGAAGACAAGGUCUGGCCGAGGCCCGCCUGAAUUUGCUUCAAGAGCAACUGACUCUGAGGCCUGCAGUAGGGAGAGGACCGGAUCUGGCCUCAAAAGGAGCCAAUCCCCGUUCUCACAGGCUUCUCAGUAGCCAGCCCUGCUUUGGUGAGAACCCCAACCUUACCCUCUUCAGUAUAGCACAGCCAUGUCCUUGGGCUGCAGUCUCCUGCCUCCCCUACCUGCCGCCUCAGAGAAAAGGCUAGCAAGAGCAAGGAGAGCCCCAUUCAGGGGGCCGAGAUGGAGCUGUGGCCAGUACCAUGUGCAACCUCACGCUAAAAGCAUCCCAGUAUUUUUGUCCUAACUGGAUUCUUGCCUCAUGUGUCCCCAAACAUGGGAGAGAGAGAGAAAAAAAAAACUGAGAA